GCUAUUAGGGGAGCUCGAUUUACGGGCUGAGAGGAGGCUUAACCUCAAGGAGGAUUGUCCUCAGGGAGGUGUGACCUCGACCCUUGGAACCUGAUCUGGGUAAUGCCAGCGUAGGGAGAUU
rnacentral:ncRNA from 1 species